CUCAGCUCUCCUGACCCAUUGGUCAUGCUUUGCUUCUAACACAGAACAGCUCACCUGACACGCUGUAUUUUUACUUACUAGUCAAAGAUCCAGUUAUCUGUAUCCAAGUUGUAGCAGUAAGCAUUCCUGGAUUCAAAACCGAUGAUUGGAACAUUCAGGGUGUUCCAGGCACUCUGCUCAGAGUGUGGGUUCUGCUGAGCAGUGUGCAUGCAAUCAGCUCCCACUUAUGGAGGCACUGGGGAUGCUGGAGUGAACACCCAAGUGCCUGCAGCAUUGAGCUCACAGUCUCACGGCAAAAAUCAGGACUCCCCGGCAGGCCUCUUACAGAUGCUUUAUACACAUUCGCCCACUUGAUCCUCAUACCAACCCUCUAAGGCCACAGUCAGAAUGUGGGCACCGAUGAGCGGGCCAGUGCAGUGACUAGGACGCCGUGGGGAAAGGCUAGACACAACCUACGUGCCCACCAACAGGAGAUGGUUAAAUUGUGCAACUGCAGAGGCAUGCUGAGCGCGACAGGCCCAGUUCGGAAGCGAGGGCCCAGUGGUGAAGAGGAACAGACCGGACUGACCCCUGCUCCUCCAGCCCCAUCUCCCUCACAACAGCUCAGACUGUGCUCAGGGCCAUCAGGGAGGACAGAGCACCAUGGGCGUCAUGCCCAAGUCACCCCCAGGCUGGGAGGCUCAGAAGAAGCAAGGUCUGAGAGGAUGAGCGGAGCUCCGACAGCGGGUUGCAAAUAACCAAGUGAACGAGGAGCAGGAACAUUUCAAGGAAGCUCCUCGAACAAACCCUUCCCAGCCCUGGGACUUAACACUUGCUGCUUCUCCAGCCCGGACCUCUCCCAGCACCCCACCCGCCCGCACCGUCUCCCCACCGUGCUCCUUCUAGGUGUUCAGUCGCCAGCCAUAAUGCCGCCUCCCCGAAGGCACGUCUCGGCCCGGCUCUACCCAAAGUCACCGCCCUUGGCGGCUAAUAGAUACUUUGGGGUCACUCGUGCCGUGUGUGUUCACUGCGCCCCUGCUGUGUGCCGGGCACUCAGGAGGGCGGUGAGCCCCUUCUCUGGAGCGGGCACAUGCUGUCCCAUAUCCCAGCACCACCUACCCCAGAUUCAUCCCGGCCUCUCAGCUCUCCUCGUGCCUCCCCCACCGCACUGUAAGAGCCGGGAGGAACGGGCGCACCGCGUCUUGUCCCUGAGGCUUCCUCAGAGGAUGGCACACGUGGGAGCUCAGGAAUGCAGGAAGGAGUGACCCGCCAGAGCACUGGUUCCCAAUAGGGGAUAAUUUGCCCCCCAGAAAAAAUUUGGACAUUUGGAAAUGUCUGGAGGCAUUUUUAACUAAGGCUUAGCAGAUGCUGCUGACGUCCAGUGGAUGGAGACUAGGAUGCAUCCCAGAGUGCACAGGAUGCCCCCCCGCCCCACAGAGAAUGACCCAGACUCCACAGAAGGAGUGUCAACACUGAGAACACAACUCCAGAGCCUAGUUUCUGGACCUCCUGAAACUGCUUCCACCUUGUCCCAUGGGGGGUUAAUAAGGCAGGUCUCCCCAUCUUUUCCAAGGCUGAAGCCGGGUGUUGUUUUCAGACUCUCAAGGGGGCAGAGUCCUGACUUGCAGGGAGCUUUGGGUGGGUACCAUAGAGGUAACCCUCCGUGACUGUGGGUGCCACGAGCACACGGAGAGCACUCAGCUGGCUUCUGUCUUGAGCUGUGUGCGGCUGAUACGUCCCUGUCUCUGUCCCUUACUCAAGGCUACAGCAAGUCUUUCUGCCCCAGGUGCCACUGGAGCACCAUCCCACCAGCUCUCCUAACACCCAGGGACUACGAAGACUUUUAAAUGUUUUAUUAUAAUUCUUAUAACUUGCAUACUGUUUGAUUCACUUGUUCUUUCAGCAAAAAAAACAAUUUCUGUGUAUCUGUGCUAAUUGUCGGGGAUACACUGACCCUGUCUCACCCCUCACGGAAGGUACCACCUGGU